GUCAUUGAUGAGCUAUUGGAUGAAUUAGCUGGGGCUUGUUGGUUUUCCAAACUAGAUCUUAGAGCAGGCUACCAUCAGAUCAGGCUGGCCCCAGGGGAAGAGCAUAAAACAUCAUUUCAGACUCAUUUGGGGCAUUUUGAGUUUCUGGUGUUAUCUUUUGGCCUUACUGGGGGACCAAAUAUACUCAACUUUCCUUUGAAUGAUACCUUGUCACCAUGUAUCAGGAAGUUUGUGUUGCUUUUCUUUGAUGGUAUCCUAGUGUUCAGUACUUCUUAUGCACUACAGUUACAGCACCUGGAAGAAGUAUUGAAAUUGUUAUUGCAGCAUCAGUGGCAAGUGAAGCUCUCAAAGUGUGCUUUUGCACAA
rnacentral:rRNA from 1 species